CGCUUGUGAAUAGUUUAUAAACAAACGUUUAUCAGUUCAGUUCAGUACUCUGCUGCAGAGCUCUGAAGAUGUGCAGAAUUCUACAAGCCUCAAUUUUUGUGACCGUCCUGGUUGUGGUUUUUUACCAAGCAAAAGCUUAUUCAGGUGAAAAUUACCAUAACAACCACGAUGAAGAUGGUGAUGACAUAAAAAAGUUAUCUACAGGUUUUAAUAUAGUAAAUGCCAGGACGCGGGAUAAGUAUUGCCUGGAAAGGGCUGACGACAACAUGCAGAAAGUAAAGAAAUGCUGGGAAUUACACCCAAAUUUAAAAGGAAAAUGCGGGUCUAAAUAUGUGUUUGACGAGAGGACGGAAUCAUGCAGGAAAAAAUAAUAAAUUCUGCAAGAAAAAUCAACGUGGCGACGCAUCAUAUUUUUAAAUAGUAAUUUUUUAUUACCUUUGAAUUAUAAAAAUCUUUCCAAUCCUCCGAAUAUAAAGAAAUCACAUUAUGAAAGCAAAUUUAAUAAAAGCUUGAAAAAUAAAUGACUGUGCCUCU